GAAGUCCACAAAUCCAGCAGCAGGAACCUCCUUCUCAAGGGGGUACCGAGAACCGAGGGGUAUGUGUGGGCCCAGCUCCGGGUUUGAAUUCCAAAGUCAGCCCCUCGAAUUCCAGCCCCUUGUGUGGCUCCUUCUGGGGGGUGGGAGGAGGGGCGGAGCCAAGGAUCAGGGUGUUGUCCUCGAUGACUGCCUGUCUGCUGCCACCCACGCUCUGAAGAGUUUCUUUCCCAUCGGAAUGUUCCUGCGUAUCUCCUUGACAACACGGACACGGUGCUGUGGUGAGGGGAAACAAUGGGAGUCAGCCAGCUGGGCGGAGCCGGGCCUGCGGUGGCUUCCCAGGACGCACUCUCCCUUCCAGGGUUCUAGGUUCAUGUUUGUGCUUCAGUCUAGCACAACAGCGACGCUGAGGCGCGGCCCCAGAAGAACCAGCCUGGCACAUGUUUCUUGGGCCGAACAGCCAGGCGGCGUGGGGAAGUCGGGACACCCAGCCCAGGGCUCCAGCCUUCCCUGACCAGAUUUGCAAUCUCCUGAAGCAAAGAGCUCACCACGUGGAUCACUGACCAGGAGAAAGGCAGGGGGCAGCCAGGAGGGAGAGAAGAGGUAUGGGAGCCGGGGGGGAUAAGAGAGACCAGCUAGGCCAAGAAUGUUCCACAUUCUCUUUCCUUGACGUUCUACAAGCCAAAUCUCGCAUCUAGAAGGAAAAUGGACAGACAGUCCUGACUUAUGAUGCUUUGACUCAGUGGUGUCCGACUUUACAAUGUGCCCAAAUAAUGCACACUGAGUAGAAACCGUACUUGGACUUCUGAAUUUAGAUCUUUCCCCAGGCUAAUGAUACACAGUAUGAUCCUCUCUGGUGACGCUGGGCAGAAGUAACAAGCCUCAGCUCCCUGCCAGCCGCACGAUCGCGGGGGUCAAGCUCACAACCAGCCUGCACCCACACAGCCCUUCUGUGUGUCACUUUCAGUACAGUACUCAUAAGUUACACGAGGGAGCCAGCCGACACUUUAGUAUCAAGUGGGCCUUGCCUUAGAUGAUUUUGCCCAACUGUAGGCUAAGCCCACACCUAGGAUGUGUCUUCAAACCAAACAUGGCAGCUGGGACCACAAUGCUGACUCCAACCCUCAUCCUCCGAGAUCUUCCUGGUUCCUGGUAUGAUGAAUGAUUGGAAUUGGAACCUAGGCAUUUGAAUCUUAAUGAUUCAAUAAGACUCUGAGUCUUAUCGAAGCCUUCUGUUUUGGCUGGCUUCUGCUGACAUCUCUCUGGCAGGAGAAGGGGCUGGAUUCGAUGCCAUAUUCCCACUCUCUGACUAACCCCCAGCCACAGCAGAAGAGCCAUGCGCCUCCACACUUGGGGCCCUUCGCUCGUGCCGGGGUGGUCUCCUUCUGCCGUUCCCGUGGCUGCAACCUCCUCAAAGAGUCCCGCUGGAUCUGCAUUUUAGACAUCCUCCCUCUGCUAAGAUCAAGUGUAUCAGUCUAUCCACCCAAAGACUCAGACCGGCACCUGGCAUACGAGAGACAGAGAGCAUGAGUGGAAACGGAGCAGAGAGAGAGGGAGAGAGAAUCCCAAGCAGGCUCCCGGCUGCCAGCACAGAGCCCAACGUGGGGCUUGAUCUCACGAGCAGUGAGAUCGUGACCCGAGCUGAAAUCGAGAGUCAGACGCUUAACUGACUGAGCCACCCAGCCAGGCGCCCCAUCUGAUUUUCUUAAAUAAACCUCACCCAGGCUCUUACAGUCCUGCAUCACCUGUUUUCUACUACUUAGCAAAAGGUACCUAAGCCAAAGUUUGUCCUCUUUUUUAACUUGCCAGUGCGCUUGCUCACAAUGUGAGAAAUCACUUCCCGAGACAUGAGAAGAGGGACAAGAGUGAAGAAAAAUUGGGUUAGAAUAACCCACGAAACGGAUCAUUAGACUUCGUUCAAGUAAGCACUGCUUUUUAACGGAGAGAGAGGGGACAGUGCGGAAGCCCCACACCCGACAGGUGGCGAGGCUGGACUCUUCUUUGACAGAUGGUGCUCCGGUUUAUGCACAAAGUUGUCCGUCACGGCAGUCCUUGUAAGAUAUCACGUCCAAGGCCGGGGCCUGCUUUCAUAGGUUACGGAACAGCCAUCGGAUGAACUAUCAUAAAGCCAUUAGAAUGAUAGUGGCAAGGAAAUUCCAAAACAUCACACGUUCCAGUUAAGUGCAUAAACGAGGACUCUGAAUGGGAUGCGUUCACACGGUCCUUGUGCUAAAAGCCCUUGUUAAAGUUUUACUUUAUUUCGGACACCGUUCCCAAGUGCGGACAGACAGGACUGGCUUGGAAGGGGUCAGAGACGGCACCGCGCCGCUGACCCCUGAGUCGUUCCUCCUCAUCUAAAAGCCAGGACUGGAGCCACACCGAAAUACGAACACUGCACAUCAUCGCAGGCUUUUCUUCGUUGCCCCUCCGCAGUUUGCAAAUGUUCUGACACUUUAAAAAGAAAACGCUUUUGUUCUCUUUCAGAGUUUCCCUGGAAACUUCUAAAAGGCAGCUGCUGCGGUAUUGCACCGUCCCCUCUUCCCUCCGCAAAUGUGCAAAUAAAGCAACAUCUCUAUGCCUUUAAUUUAUAACAGGCUAAACUUGCCCCU